rnacentral:rRNA from 1 species
GAUGAACGCUGGCGGCGUGCCUAAUACAUGCCAGUCGAGCGAACAGACGAGGAGCUUGCUCCUCUGACGUUAGCGGCGGACGGGUGAGUAACACGUGGAUAACCUACCUAUAAGACUGGGAUAACUUCGGGAAACCGGAGCUAAUACCGGAUAAUAUAUUGAACCGCAUGGUUCAAUAGUGAAAGACGGUUUUGCUGUCACUUAUAGAUGGAUCCGCGCCGCAUUAGCUAGUUGGUAAGGUAACGGCUUACCAAGGCAACGAUGCGUAGCCGACCUGAGAGGGUGAUCAGCCACACUGGAACUGAGACACGGUCCAGACUCCUACGGGAGGCAGCAGUAGGGAAUCUUCCGCAAUGGGCGAAAGCCUGACGGAGCAACGCCGCGUGAGUGAUGAAGGUCUUCGGAUCGUAAAACUCUGUUAUUAGGGAAGAACAAAUGUGUAAGUAACUAUGCACGUCUUGACGGUACCUAAUCAGAAAGCCACGGCUAACUACGUG